CCCUGGGUGGCUCAGAUGGUAAAGAAUCUGCCUGCAAUGCAGGAGACCCAGGUUUGAUCCCUGGUCAGGAA
rnacentral:tRNA from 1 species